AUUGAACGCUGGCGGCAGGCCUAACACAUGCAAGUCGAACGAGUGGCGGACGGGUGAGUAAUGUCUGGGAAACUGCCUGAUGGAGGGGGAUAACUACUGGAAACGGUAGCUAAUACCGCAUACCAUCGGAUGUUCCCAGAUGGGAUUAGCUAGUAGGUGGGGUAACGGCUCACCUAGGCGACGAUCCCUAGCUGGUCUGAGAGGAUGACCAGCCACAAUGGAACUGAGCCACGGUCCUGACCCCUACGGGAGGCAGAAGUGGGGAAUAGUGCACAAGGGUCGCAAGCCUGAUGCAGCCAUGCCGCGUGUAUGAAGAAGGCCUUCGGGUUGUAAAGUACUUUCAGCGGGGAGGCGUUACCCGCAGAAGAAGCACCGGCUAACUCCGUGCCAGCAGCCGCGGUAAUUC
rnacentral:rRNA from 1 species